GACGAACGCUGGCGGCGUGCUUAACACAUGCAAGUCGAACGCUGAAGCACCAGCUUGCUGGUGUGGAUGAGUGGCGAACGGGUGAGUAAUACGUGAGUAACCUGCCCUUGACUCUGGGAUAAGCCCGGGAAACUGGGUCUAAUACUGGAUGCUACAUGUCACCGCAUGGUGGUGUGUGGAAAGGGUUUACUGGUCUUGGAUGGGCUCACGGCCUAUCAGCUUGUUGGUGAGGUAAUGGCUCACCAAGGCGACGACGGGUAGCCGGCCUGAGCGGGUGACCGGCCACACUGGGACUGAGACACGGCCCAGACUCCUACGGGAGGCAGCAGUGGGGAAUAUUGCACAAUGGGCGAAAGCCUGAUGCAGCGACGCCGCGUGAGGGAUGACGGCCUUCGGGUUGUAAACCUCUUUCAGCAGGGAAGAAGCCACAAGUGACGGUACCUGCAGAAGAAGCGCCGGCUAACUACGUG
rnacentral:rRNA from 1 species